rnacentral:rRNA from 1 species
UACCUCAGUAACGGCGAGUGAAGCGGUAACAGCUCAAAUUUGAAAUCUGGGUCUUUUAGGCUCCGAGUUGUAAUUUGUAGAAGAUGCUUCGGGUGCGGCGCCGGUCUAAGUCCCUUGGAACAGGGCGUCAUAGAGGGUGAGAAUCCCGUAUGUGAUCGGUUGCCUGUGCCCGUGUGAAGCUCUUUCGACGAGUCGAGUUGUUUGGGAAUGCAGCUCUAAAUGGGUGGUAAAUUUCAUCUAAAGCUAAAUAUUGGCCAGAGACCGAUAGCGCACAAGUAGAGUGAUCGAAAGAUGAAAAGCACUUUGGAAAGAGAGUUAAACAGUACGUGAAAUUGUUGAAAGGGAAGCGCUUGCAACCAGACUUGCGCGUUGUCGAUCAUCCGAGGUUCUCCCCGGUGCACUCGACCUCGCUCAGGCCAGCAUCGGUUUCGGUGGUUGGAUAAAGGCCUUGGGAAUGUAGCUUCUUUCGGGGAGUGUUAUAGCCCUCGGUGCAAUGCAGCCUACCGGGACCGAGGACCGCGCUUCGGCUAGGAUGCUGGCGUAAUGGUUGUAAGCGACCCGUCUUGAAACACGGACCAAGGAGUCUAACAUCUAUGCGAGUGUUUGGGUGUCAAACCCAUACGCGUAAUGAAAGUGAACGGAGGUGAGAACCCUUAAGGGUGCAUCAUCGACCGAUCCUGAUGUCUUCGGAUGGAUUUGAGUAAGAGCAUAGCUGUUGGGACCCGAAAGAUGGUGAACUAUGCCUGAAUAGGGUGAAGCCAGAGGAAACUCUGGUGGAGGCUCGCAGCGGUUCUGACGUGCAAAUCGAUCGUCAAAUUUGGGUAUAGGGGCGAAAGACUA